rnacentral:tRNA from 3 species
GCCGAGGUGGCGGAAUUGGUAGACGCGUAAGAUUCAGGAUCUUAUGGGCUUUUGUCCGUGCGGGUUCAAGUCCCGCCCUCGGCACCA